rnacentral:misc_RNA from 1 species
AAGUCGUAACAAGGUAACCGUAGGUGAACCUGCGGUUGGAUCAUUACCGAGGUGGGGCUCUGCGAUUCAUUUUGCUGUCCCGUGCUCCCCCUGCGCAGCGGCCAAGCAGGCGCGUCCUGUUUCACACGCUGCUGCGCGGGGUUUGGAGUGACCUAUUUGUGCACUGUUUUUGUCUCUGGCGGCGGGAUGUGGAGUCGGGGCUUGGACCCCGGACCGCAUCUGUCAGCGUUGCAACUUUGGCGUCGUGUCAAAGUUGCGAGGCCGUGGACAAACCGCCAACGUGUUUAACGUGUGCUUUCUAUCACUUUUGUCUAAUAUCUAUGGCGCGACAGCGUCGAUUGAAUGUGCAAACAACUUUUGGCAAUGGAUCUCUUGGCUCUC